CCUCUGACCUACUGCUCCUGCUCAAUGCAUCCUCUGGCUCCCUCCUGAGCCAGGUUCCCUCCCUUCCCAGUGCUGGAUGAAGUAUGGAGUCCUGUACUGGCAGGAUGUUGUGCUGGAAGUUAACACUGCCCUCUAGGAGCUCACAGAUUCAUCACAACACCUUGAGAGAAGCAGGAUUACAAGUGAUCUUGCUGCUGUGAGUAGAGAUGGAGGGGAGAGGUGAGGUGGAGAUCUAUAUUUCAAAAUUCAUCACCUGCCUUUGGUUCCAAGUGAGAAGAGGUGCUGCCGAUGGAUAGAGGGGACAGCAUUCAUCAUAUCAACACGAAGGAGCUGAGAACCAGAGUCCCAGCUGCUCUGCUAGAAACUCUUCCUGCAGGAGGGGGACAAAGGAACCAGCUCUAGAUAUGCAACAGGAAACCCAUAAACUACCUGCUCCUGAGGGUGGGAUAUAAAAUAUAACACCAUGAUCAUGGAAGUACAUUACUUACAAACACAAAAAUACAGUACUAGUGGAAAAUACAUUAACCAAAUAUCACUGUUUCAUACUGCAGAUGAUCAAAAGAUUACAUGAAUUUUAAUCCUUUGCAAAAUACAGUAUAAUCUCUCCCCUUUCACCUAUUAAUAUAUCUAUAAAAGAGCUAGUAACAUGGUUACAGGGCAAGCAGCACUUUAGGCCCCUUUCAGCCCUUCUCAAGCAUAUCCUUCAGGUGACAGGCCUGGCUUCCUGCACCUUUCUCAAAGGGUCAAACCACGUGAUCCAUCCACUCUUGGAUUGCAUCUCUGGGGGGGCAACCCCGUUUCUCAACCAUGUUAACCCAACAGGCCCAGCUGUUUUCCCUCAUUGUUGUCCUUUAAUAACGUUAGAUGGAAUCCUGUGGCUGAGAGUGAAUGGGUUGUAAAAGGAGGUGAAGAGCUUGUACAUUUCAGCAACUGUGGGGUUUGCAAAGUAAAAGAGAUUUGUGUUAACAGGGCAAAUUGAAGCAUUGCUAAAAGAGGACAGAGUUAAGUUUGGAUGGACAACCUUAACUGCAUUUCCUGGUUUUCAGAAGUCUGAGUUUUUACUCAAUUCAACAUUCUGCAAGGGGACAAUAUACCACCAAGCAAUCUUAACUCUACAUUAACAUAGUUUUUUGCCUUUGAAUUCAUCCAAAGAUAUAUAGCAAGUAGAGGAAAGGGAUAAAACAAAGGUCUAUACUUGUAUUUCCCCUUACCUAAACCUUAAUAUUUCCUUGCAAGCUUUGGUAAAUUCCAUUCAUCCCAGUUACCUCCAUCUAUGUUUGGGAGAGAGAGAGAGAGAGAGAAGGGUCUGCUCAUUGCAGUUUUUCCCUUUCUCUGUGUCUUUGUCAGCAUCUCCUUCUUGGGCAGCUGCCGACAACCCACUCAACACUUCCCCCUCUUUCUUCCUACUCUAACAUCUCUAAGGUGCAAUAUGUUUUGAAUCUAGGCUUAGAUCUAGAAAGAGUAAACCUUGUCAGCUGGGUUGGAGCCAGGUAAGACCGUUUUCCAAUCAAUAGUUUCCCCAUUGUUUCUUCAAUGACCCUUGAUAUUCUGUGGACCGUACCUUAUAUUUGCCAUCGUUUUAUUUCCUGUUUGUUCUCCUCUUCUUCCCCUCCUCCAGCAGCCUACUUUGAUUUAACUCCUUGCAGUCAGAUAGUAUAAUAUCAACUAGGUAAACUGAGGUGCAUGUGCUAUUUGCAAAAAAAUAAUUAUACACAUAACUCCCUUAUUUUCCACAGCUAGAUAUUAUUAUCAGACAACUUUAAUAGAUGACAUUAAAAUGGAAAUGAAGGGCUUUGACCUAACAAGAAAACAUCCUGCUUUAUUAGUAUCUACUCACCAUUAUAGUUUGUUAAUAUGUGA